rnacentral:rRNA from 1 species
ACGAGGCUUUUCAAGAAGCUUGCUUCUUGAAAGACCGAGUGGCAAACGGGUGAGUAACGCGUAAACAACCUGCCCUUAGGAUGGGGACAACAGCUGGAAACGGCUGCUAAUACCGAAUACGAUCAACUGGCCGCAUGGCCGGAUGAUGAAAAGAUGGCCUCUAUAUAUAAGCUAUCGCCGGAGGAGGGGUUUGCGUCUGAUUAGCUAGUUGGAGGGGUAACGGCCCACCAAGGCGACGAUCAGUAGCCGGUCUGAGAGGACGGACGGCCACAUUGGAACUGAGACACGGUCCAGACUCCUACGGGAGGCAGCAGUGGGGAAUCUUCCGCAAUGGGCGAAAGCCUGACGGAGCAACGCCGCGUGAGUGAAGACGGCCUUCGGGUUGUAAAGCUCUGUUAUAUGGGACGAACGUAUUUAUGGCCAAUACCCAUAGAUAGUGACGGUACCGUAAGAGAAAGCCACGGCUAACUACGUGCCAGCAGCCGCGGUAAUACGUAGGUGGCAAGCGUUGUCCGGAAUUAUUGGGCGUAAAGGGCGCGCAGGCGGCCUGUCAAGUCUGUCUUAAAAGUGCGGGGCUCAACCCCGUGAUGGGACGGAAACUGGCAGGCUGGAGUGUCGGAGAGGAAAGCAGAAUUCCUAGUGUAGCGGUGAAAUGCGUAGAUAUUAGGAGGAAUACCAGUGGCGAAAGUGGCUUUCUGGACGACAACUGACGCUGAGGCGCGAAAGCCAGGGGAGCAAACGGGAUUAGAUACCCCGGUAGUCCUGGCCGUAAACGAUGGGUACUAG